CUUGGUGAUAAGAGCGCGAUGGAACCACCCGUUCCCAUCCCGAACACGGAAGUGAAACGUCGUAGCGCUGACGAUACUGCACCGCGAGGUGUGGGAAAAUAGGUCGUUGCCAGGG
rnacentral:rRNA from 1 species